rnacentral:rRNA from 1 species
CCCCGAGUGCCGGCGCUAACGCAUUAAGUACCCCGCCUGGGGAGUACGACCGCAAGGUUGAAACUCAAAGGAAUUGACGGGGGCCCGCACAAGCGGUGGAGCAUGUGGUUUAAUUCGACGCAACGCGAAGAACCUUACCUAGGCUUGACAUGCAUGGGAAAGCCUCUGGAAACAGGGGCCCCUCUUCGGAGCUCAUGCACAGGUGCUGCAUGGCUGUCGUCAGCUCGUGUCGUGAGAUGUUGGGUUAAGUCCCGCAACGAGCGCAACCCUUGCCCUUAGUUACCAGCGAGUAAAGUCGGGGACUCUAGGGGGACUGCCGGUGCCAAACCGGAGGAAAGGUGGGGACGACGUCAAGUCAUCAUGGUCCUUACGUCUAGGGCUACACACGUGCUACAAUGGCCGGUACAAAGGGCUGCGAAAGGGCAACCUCGAGCCAACCCCCAAAGCCGGCCUCAGUUCNNAUNGUCGUCUGCAACUCGACGGCAUGAAGCUGGAAUCGCUAGUAAUCGUGGAUCAGCGACGCCCACGGGUGGAAUACGUUUCCCGGGGCCUUGGUACACACNNCCCG